rnacentral:lncRNA from 1 species
GAUGAAUAGAGAUGUUGGAUUGAUAUGUAUGAAUUAAGAAUGUUGGAUUGAUUAGUAUGAAAUAGAGAUCUGUUGGAUUGAAGUUAAUGAAUAGAGAUGUUGAUUGAUAUUAAUGAUUAUGAGAUGUUGGAUUGAUGUAAUGAAUAGAAGAUGUUGGAUGAUUAUUAAUGAAUAGAGAUGUGGGAUUGAUAAUUAAUGAAAUAGAUUGCAGACAUUAGAAUUGGAUGAUGUUGAUGAUAUGUGGAUUAUUAAAUGAAUAGAGAUGUGGAUUGAUGUAAAUGAAUAGAGAAUGUUGGAUUGAUAUAAUGAAUUAGAGAUGUUUGGAUUGAUAGUAUGAAAUGAAGAUGUUGGAUUGAUACUAAUGUAGAUGAGAUGAUAGUUAUGAAGAUAGGAGUUGGAUGAUAGUAAUGACUAGAGAUGUUGUGAUUGAUAUUGAUGAAUAGAGAUUGUUGGAUUGAUUAUUAAUGAAUAGAGAUGUUGGAUUUGAUAUUAAUUGAAUAGAGAGAUGGAUUUGAUAUUAAUGAAUAAGUAUGGUGGAUCUUGAUAGUAAAUGAAUGAAGAUGUUGGAUUGAUAUUAAUAAUAGAAUGUUGGAUCUGAUAUUAAUGAAUAGAGAUGGUGGAUUCGGAUAUUAAUGAAAUAGAGAUGGUGGAUUGAUAUUAAUGAAUAGAGAUGUUGGAUUGAUAUAAUGACUAGAAUGUUGGAUUGAUAUAUGACUAGAGGAUGUUGGAAUUGAUAUUAAUGAUAGAGAUGUGGAUUGAUACGGUUAAUGAAAGAGAUUUGGAUAUUGAUAAUUAAUGGCAGCUAGAUGUUGGAUUGAUAAUUAAAUGACUAGAGAUUGCGAUAAUUGAUGAUGUUGGAUUGAUAUUAAUGAAUAGAGAUGUGGAUUGAUAUUAAUGAAUAGAGAUGUUGGAUUGAUAUAAAUGAAUAGAGAUGUUGGAUUGAUAUUAUGAAUAAGAGAUGGUGGAUGAUGAUUAAUGAAUAGAGAAUGGUUAGGAUUAAUAGUAAUGAAUAGAGAUGUUGGAUAAUUAGUAUAAUUAAGAUGUGGAUGAUAAAUAGAGAUGUUGAGAUUGAUAUUGAGAUGAAUAGAGAUGGUGGGAUUCGAUAGUAAUGAAUUAGAGAUGUUGGAUGAUAGUAAUGAAUAGAGAUGUUUGGAUUGAUAUUGAAUCCUAGAUAAGAUGUUGGAUAUGAAUAUUGAAUGAAUAGAGAUGGUGGAUGAUAGUAAUGAAUAGAGAUGUUGGAUUGAUAGUAAUGACACAACAAACCAACAACAUAAGUAAUAGACAUCUAAAGGUCACAGUUCAUUGUAACAUACUGUGUGGCAAAUCUCAAUCACCCCAAAUUAAGUUGUAAAAAUGUGAACAACUUUAGUUGAAAGGAAUAAAUAUCUGACAUUAAAACCAAAAUUUCAGAAGACAAAAACAAAAGAAACAA